UACGAAGGGGGCUAGCGUUGCUCGGAAUCACUGGGCGUAAAGGGUGCGUAGGCGGGGCUUUAAGUCAGGGGUGAAAUCCUGGAGCUCAACUCCAGAACUGCCUUUGAUACUGAGGAUCUUGAGUUCGGGAGAGGUGAGUGGAACUGCGAGUGUAGAGGUGAAAUUCGUAGAUAUUCGCAAGAGCACCAGUGGCGAAGGCGGCUCACUGGCCCGAUACUGACGCUGAGGCACGAAAGCGUGGGGAGCAAACAGG
rnacentral:rRNA from 1 species